rnacentral:lncRNA from 13 species
CUACAGAGACUGUGGUGGAGCUGGGAACCCAGUCAGACUGUAGUGGGGCUGCAUCAGCCAGGUGGAGGGUCAGGGAGAGGAGCUGUUCUCAUCAUCAGCGACAGAGAAAAUAUAACAUAAUAUCCCAAUGAGCAUGCCUAGCGCCCUCUAGUGUUCAAUGUGAGGGAUAGCACACAAAGAGUCCCAGAGCACUGACAGUAAAUAUAAUGAAAGUAAUAACAAAUAAAAUAUAGAUUGGGAUGGGAAGAAGAAGAGGAAGAGGUAGAAUGGUCAUCUGAUGUGCCUCUUAGUCACACCAGCUGGUGGCUGCAUGUAUGGUGUUAUUAGGUGUUAUCAGUGCGUUCUAGACAGUGUUUGUAUGGUGUUAUUAGUGUGUUAAUAGACUGUGUUUGUAUGGUGUUAUUAGGUGUAAUCAGUGUGUUACUCGACAGUGUUUGUAUGGUGUUAUUAGGUGUUAUCAGUGUGUUACUAGACAGUGUUUGUAUGGUGUUAUUAGGUGUUAUCAGUGUGUUACUAGACAGUGUUUGUAUGGUGUUAUUAGGUGUAAUCAGUGUGUUACUCGACAGUGUUUGUAUGGUGUUAUUAGGUGUUAUCAGUGUGUUACUAGACAGUGUUUGUAUGGUGUUAUUAGGUGUUAUCAGUGUGUUACUAGACAGUGUUUGUAUGGUGUUAUUAGGUGUAAUCAGUGUGUUACUAGACCGUUUAUGUAUGGUGUUAUUAGGUGUAAUCAGUGUGUUACUAGACUGUUUAUGUAUGGUGUUAUUAGGUGUUAUCAGUGUGUUACUAGACCGUUUAUGUAUGGUGUUAUUAGGUGUAAUCAGUGUGUUACUAGACUGUUUAUGUAUGGUGUUAUUAGGUGUUAUCAGUGUGUUACUCGACAGUGUUUGUAUGGUGUUAUUAGGUGUUAUCAGUGUGUUACUAGACCGUUUAUGUAUGGUGUUAUUAGGUGUAAUCAGUGUGUUACUAGACUGUUUAUGUAUGGUGUUAUUAGGUGUUAUCAGUGUGUUACUCGACAGUGUUUGUAUGGUGUUAUUAGGUGUUAUCAGUGUGUUACUCGACAGUGUUUGUAUGGUGUAUUCAGUGUUACUAGACAGUGUUUGUAUGGUGUUAUUAGGUGUUAUCAGUGAGUUACUACGCAGUGUUUCUAUGGUGUAUUCAGUGUUACUAGACAGUGUUUGUAUGGUGUUAUCAGUGUGUUGUCAGUAGACAGUGUUUGCAUGGUGUUAUCAGUGUGUCAGUAGACAGUGUUUGUAUGGUGUUAUCAGUGUGUCAGAACACAGUGUUUGUAUGGUGUUAUAAGUGUGUUAGUAGACAGGGUUUGUAUUGUGUUAUCAGUGUGUUAGUAGACAGUGUUUGCAUGGUGUUAUCAGUUUUUUAAUAGACAAUGUUUGUAUGGUGUUAUCAGUGUGAAGGUACACAGUGGUUGUAUGGUGUUAUCAGUGUGUUAGUAGACAGUGUUUGUAUGGUGUUAUCAGUGUGUUAAUAGACAGUGUUUGUAUGGUGUUAUCAGUGUGUUGACAGUAGACUGUGUUUGUACGGUGAUAUCAGAGUGUUGUUAAUACACAGUGUUUGUAUGGUGUUAUCACUGUGUUGUCAGUAGACUGUGUUUGUAUAGUGUUAUCAGUGUGUUAGUAGACAGUGUUUUAUGGUGUUAUCAGUGUGUUAGUAGACAGUGUUUUAUGGUGUCAUCAGUUUGUUUGUAUAGUGUUAUCACUGUGUUUUCAGUAGACAGUGUUUGUAUGGUGUUAUCAGUGUGUUAGUACACAGUGUUUGUGUGGUGUUGUCAGUGUGUUGUCAGUAGAC